GAAAAUAAAUAUCCCAGACAGACGAGGCUCUUUCCUAAGAGGAUCUGAGUCUGCUCCAGGGCUCAGGGUCCUGCUGUUCAGUUCAGAAAAAGAACAGUGACCUUGCUGUAAGCCCUCUAGAAUGCCUGGCCCGAACACCUUCCUCAAGGCAGCACUGCAGCUUUCUGAUAACUCAGCAGACAGACGCCAAGGAGACAGGGAGAAGAGGAAACAGGAAGUGAGAAGAGGGGCGGAAGCUGAGGAGAGGCAGUUCUGUACUUAGCAAUUUUCCAGAGUCUUAAAGGUGAAGUGUCUAACGCUGGAUUCUGUUCCUAGAGUGUGUUUGCCAUCGCCGUCUUCCGUGGCCCGAGCGUCUCUGAAUGUGGUCCUUUGUGCCUUGGUGCAGAAAUGGUGUAUUUUUGUGGUCUAGGAUCCAGUCUAGGAUCACAAGGCAUCUUUCUUUAGGCUCCUUUAGUCUAAAUGUCCCUCUGCUGCUAUUUCAUGGCCGUCACAUUUUUUGAGAGUACUGACAGACUC